CAUGACUGCAAUCAGAGUUCUUCAAUCAUACCAAUUGAGAAACUGCAUUCCGAAA
rnacentral:lncRNA from 1 species